CAGUUAUUAAUUAAUUAGUAAAUUUAUAUUUUUAUAUAUAAAAUAUGAUAAGAAAAUACAAUCAUCACCGCUUAAGUCCCACAAAAAAAUACAAAAUUAAACCCAUCAGAAAAAUACAAAAUUGCAGAACACAUAAAACGACAACACAACUUCCCACAAUACGGCAUUAUUUACAUAUUAAUAUCUUAAGCAAAAAAAGGCUUUAAUUACGUUGAUCCUCCAUUAUUUAAAUCCAGACGACGCCGCUUCACCCUCAAUUUCAGCGAUGCGUGCUCCUACUAUCCCCGCUGUAAAGCCUGCCGACGCAAAUAAAAACGAUAAAGGUCGGUCCCCAUACCGAACAAAAUAAGUCGGUGGAUAUAUGCCGUCCGUUUCUAAAACGUAAAUAUCUAAUCCAACGGUCAAGAAUUGAUGGAUGAUGAUCAAUAAAAUUACCAGUCAUAGGUUGUGGGAUUGUUAGCCUGGGUCGGGCUGACGUUGUCGUACAUGGCGUGACCGGACCUGGUGGCCAGGUUGCUCCCUGGGUUGAACACACUCCUCCACACAUUGUCCUUCGUCGCGGAUCCUGGUGUCGCUGGAGUCCUCGGGCUCUCCGGCAUUGCUGCUGGCUUCUGGAGCUGCAAGCUCCCUCCAGCAUCCCCAUCUACAGAGUGAUAUAUUGUACCGUGUUAAUUCUGUACAACGGUGAACGUCUAAUUCACACGUUUUUUUAGGGUUGUUGGCCUCAAGGUUAGAUGUGAUUCAUACAUUAAAUUUUUUGUGUGAGCCGGUGGUGGAUUUGAUAUGAGGUUCUCCCAGACUACAACCUAGUUCAUUCUUGUGUUUAGAGCUAUAAAAAUAUAUGUAUUUUGCGUACGUAAGUGGAUAAUGGGUUGAUUUAGUGGGUUUUCACGAGUCUGACUCAGAGUAUGUUUCGAUUUACAUGACCUCAAACUAACCAUAAAGAUCAUCAAAUAUGCCAGUGUCCUGAUCCAUUUUGGAUCAUCCAAUAGGUUCUCCCAGACUACCGUUUUCAAAUUUAACGCGGUACAUUUCAGUUUAUUUGACCCACAAUAAGGUAGAGAAAAGCACACAUCACUCAAUUUACAACCAUCGUGGCAUGGUCCAGUGACCUGAUCCAUCCUCAAUUUGUUACGAGGCGAAAAGAGUUGGAGAUAGGUUGCGUUACC
rnacentral:lncRNA from 1 species